rnacentral:rRNA from 1 species
GGGUAACCUGCCUCAUACGAGGGGGAUAACAGUUAAGAAAUGACUGCUAACACCGCAUAAUAUAGUAGAAACCGCAUGUAUUUUGCUAUACAAAUUAUUUAGUAGGUAUGAGAGUCGGGCCCGCGUCUGAUUAGCUAGUUGGUAGGGGUAAAGCCUACCAAGGCGACGAUCAGUAGCCGGCUUGAGAGAGUGACCGGCCACAGUUGGGACUGAGACACCGGACCCAAACUCCGUACGGGAGGCAGCAGGUGGGGAAUAUUGGACAAGUGGGGGAAACCCUGAUCCAGCGACGCCCGCGUGAGUGAAGAAGUAUUUCGGUAUGUAAAGCUCUAUCAGCAGGGAAGAUAAUGACAGUACCUGACUAAGAAGCCCCGGCUAACUACGUGCCAGCAGCUGC